UGUACUUUAAUGUGUUCACGAGACUUCAGCAAUCUGUCUCCACCGAAACCCACCCCAGCUCCUUCUCUUUUAUGUGGUUCAACGCUUCAAGAACAGCUAGGGUUUCCAGCUGAAAACUUGUCUCCGCUCGAAUAGAUUUGGUAAAGCCAUCUACAAGGCAACCGGAGGAGUCCUGAACGAUGCAAGCGACCGCUCCUUCCGUCGACCCCUCACCUAGUGACCCACCCACGUUGAUUUUCAAAGUACCCGCAGCCAGAGCUUCCCACGUUUCAGAUCUACCACUUUGCAGGCAUUCGGCUUAGUACCCCGAAAAACGUAACCUCCUGUGCAUUCACUUGUAAGUUGAUUUCCAGGUGACUCCAUAUCCAUGCAGUCCAAGGACAAAGGAGGUGUAUAUGUUUGGUCAUUUCCAUGCUUUCUCGGCAAAGGUCACAAACCGAAUCAAAUUCAGCGCUGCUCGCAAGUAGGAGAGGAUUAUGGUCUGACCUGACUGCUGGGAGAGCGUACGCUUAUGCUUCUGGGAACAUGAGCUUCCAUUCUAAAGAACAAAACACCUUACCCAGCUUUUCCUUAACCAAAUCAACCCUUUCUUUGCUGUUGGAUCAGGACGAUGGUUUCUCAGCCACCAUUAGCCGAUGUUCAUCCUCCUCAAUAUUCAUUAUGCUUUUUCCUUUCCCCUGGUGCUGUUCCUCUUGGUGAUCAGGUAACUAUAACAUCCACUUGUGCCCUGUUUUGUGGUUGAGUUGCUACUGUGAAAGUUGUUGCAGUUUGCUAUCCGGUAAAUAUGACUAUUUGAGUGUUUUGAGUUGGAGGGUUUCUUGCUCUAUGUUCCUCUUGUUCACCCACCCUAUCACCAUAAAAAAUAUGCCAAAAAUGGCUGGUCUCCUUAGCCUCUACUUUUAACCAAUGUCCAAACCUGUUGCUGCUCUUAUCUUCAUAUUUUGCUUCAUCAAAGGGAACUUCUUCACAAUUGGUAGCAAAAUGCCCAACUUUUCCACAAGAAUAGCAAAAUCGAGGUAAUCUCUCAUACUUAAAAUCCAACCAGACUUUCCCCUCCUAUAUUAUAUAAAGUGCUUGGACUUAAAGGUGUAUCAAGAUCAAGCUCUACUCUUGCUCUACCCACCUUCUGAAAUGACACUCCAUUCUUCUCCACUUUUACUUCUUUUACACAGCCUAGGGUUUUGGCUAUAUGAGCCACGACCUCCUCAGAGCACCAUUCUAUAGGGAGGCCAUGAACUUGAACCUAGAAUGCACAAUUGGUAAACUUAUAACAUUGCGCAGGUUUAUUAGGUUCCGAUGGUUUAAGGAUCAAUAAAUUGCUUGCAAAAGAUUAUGGACUAUUCACUAACAAUCUUGCUUUGUCCAUCUCAGAUUCAAAGGUAAAAGAAAAGUAUACCCGAUUCACGCUGCGUAAAGGUAACUAAAUCUACCUUCCAAACUCUUUUCAUUGUGCUAAGAAAAGCCUGAAAAUUGAUAUCUCCACCUGAAUAUAGCUUAUCGAACACUGUUCUAUUGCAUUCAUCUAGGAUUGCCUUAGAGAUCACUCUAUCUCGUGGAGGGGCAUCAACUUAUGUCCUCAGGUUGCCUAAUCUCUUGCAUAAUACAGCGAGGCGAUUGUCUACUUCCCCUGGUUCCUCCAUUUACCACAAUAGCAGGACACAAAUUGCUAGACACAAGCAAAUCGCAAUCAGAGCCCGACCAGCAUAGCAAAGGGAACUUUACUCUUAGAUACGUUUUUUUUUUUGUA